rnacentral:tRNA from 1 species
GUUUAUAUAGUUUAUUUAAAACUUUACAUUUUCAUUGUAAUAAAAAAAUUUUAUAUUUUUAUAAAUU